rnacentral:misc_RNA from 1 species
UACGAGGGGUGCAAGCGUUAUUCGGAAUUAUUGGGCGUAAAGGGUGUGUAGGCGGCAUAUUAAGUCUGUUGUUAAAUAUCUCGGCCUAACCGAGAGCCAGCAAUGGAUACUGGUAUGCUAGAGGAUGGAAGAGAGAAGUGGAAUUCUUGGAGUAGCGGUAAAAUGCGUAGAUCUCAAGAGGAACACCGAUGGCGAAGGCAGCUUCUUGGUCCAUUCCUGACGCUGAGACACGAAAGCGUGGGGAGCAAACAGG